UUUUUUUGACUGAUAGUCUUAUGCUCAUGUAACUUGCAUGUAUACAAAUAAUGGAUUGUGCCCUGGUUGAUACAGUAGCAUGCUCUACUUUAUAUAAUUUAUUUGCUUUACAGGAAGCCUGAAGCAGAACCGUUUGCUGAAAACUGUCAGUAAGAAAGAGCUGGAGACAGCACUUGGUAAAUGGUUCACAAAUGCAAGAGACAGAGAAGGCAACCGUGCUUUCAGAGCCCAGCGGGACCAUGAUCAGAUUGCAAUACAGCUGGAAGUGUGAUGUUUGUGGUGGCACGUCCUGAUUUUGCCAAGUCCUUGAUGCCCUGAGAUCAAUAUUUUUUUAUGAUGACCCUGGGACAACAACUUCCUCAGCAAUCAGCGUUUAUGACGUCAUCAAUAUGCGCGACCCAAUUACUAUCACCAUUUUGCAGAGUCCGCCAAAAUACAAAAUAAAUAACGGUUUGCACCUGCACCGCACCAGUGGCAAACUCAGGAUGUGCCACCAGCAAAAAGAUUUUGACAUUAGAGAUGGAGGAAUUUAUAAAAACAACAGUCUACAGAGAGGAGUGCUUUAAAGGAAACAAAAAAGAGACAGCUAUAACAGUCCAUGUUUUAGAAAAUCAUUUGGAUGCCUGUAAAUUUAUU